CCCAUGGGGUGCCCAGAACUGCGAUCAGGAGCCUGAAGCGAAACAAGGGCCUACACUUUGUGGAUGACGUAGGUUACCACUCCCCAGAUGGUAAAAUCUAUGCCCUCAUGGAUGCGUAGGGGCGGAUAAUCAUUGUUUUCCGGCACCAGCCAGUACUCAUCGGCCUCGAUCUUUAGCCGUUUCACCGUUAAUUCCCCAUCCACAAUGGCAAUGAUAAUACGGUUGUGGGUAGCUUCCAGAGCUCUGUCCACGAUGAGGAUAUCAUCCGAGUGAAUACCUGCGCCGAUCAUGGAAUAGCCAUCUGCCCGUACAAAGAAGGUGGAAGCCUCGUGCAUGAUGAGAUGCUCAUUCAGGUCCAGCCUGCCUUCCACAUAGUCUUGGGCGGGAGGGC
rnacentral:rRNA from 1 species